CCUCACCAGAGACCUCAGGUGCCUUUGGAGUUUAUAAUGAUCCUUCAACAUUUUCAGCUAUGAGGAAAAAGAAACGAGUUCACGUGCUUUUUGGCAUACUGAGAGAGCUCCCUGGUAUGACAACACAGGAGGUGGUCGGAACAUCAGAAGUCAGGCACUGCCUCUGCAGGACUGUGGUUAUAAGGAAAAGAGGAGGCUUGGUCCACUUAAG